rnacentral:lncRNA from 7 species
AGGUCACAGACUUCAAGGGCUGGGUCUCCUUGUUCUACUCAUCUUGUUUCAUUCUGACUGCACUAUAAAGAUUACUGGUUUCAGAAAUCGAGGUGACCAUUUCUGGUCCUAUUUAAGAUUGAGGAAGAAAUGUGGAAUUCUGAAAUCUUUUCAUGACUGAAAAACAGCUUUCCACCAAGAUCCCCUCAAAUGAGAUUGCAGAAAUUCUUCUUUCUCCUUCCUCCCUGGCUCUCUUAUCAUGCAAUUCUCUUCAUGCUGUUCACCAAGACCAAAUCUGAGCCAGCCUGAGAUUUGUGCUAACGGACGCUGUGGGAAUAAGUGCUGGUCUCGGGGUUGCUUCAGACCUCUCUAGUGAAGCUACAUGCUAAACCUACUUCUCAGUGCCCCCAUCCUGACCAGAGGAGUCUCCUGCCUCCCACCACCACUUCCCUGCUCUUAGGAAGAUCCUUGGUGGAACAUCUCCAGGAGCACAAAGCUGUUUCUGAAGUCAUCCAAGUAUGGCUGAGGUUGGAAAUAAUCUUGUCCAAUUGCCACCUAGAACCAGCUGCCCAGGACCAUGUCCAAAGACCCGUGUCUUUGCUAGUGGGACUUGGAACACUUCACUGGCUGAAGUUUCUCUAGAUCUAGCAUGAGACAGCAGGCAGCAGUGGGAUGUGGGUUAGCUGAGAAGCUUGGGUGCUCAUUUCUGACUCCUUGUACACGCAGGUUUCCCACUCCCAUAGCACUGUGCUGUGGCUUCUCUCAUGCAGUGGGUCUGGCU